rnacentral:lncRNA from 1 species
AUUUCAAAACCUGUUGUUACGAUGCUUUUAUUAUGACUCAGCAUUCCUUUGGUCUACUUGACAUAAAUAUACAAUAUUACAAAUUAUAGGGUAAAUCUCCUUUACCUUACUAAAAAGAAAACUUAGGCUUGUGUUGUUUUCAUAGCAGUAGAAAACAGGGUCAGUAUGUGCUCAGGAAUAAGGGCGGAUAGAGCUGGAGCAGAGACGUGGAAGACAUUCAGGGGCUUUGCUAAGUGGAAGCACUGUGCCAGGGCAGUGAGUGGGGAGGCAGCAGGGACCUGCUGCCUGCCGAAUUGCAUCCCUGAUCUGACUCUUACUGACAGCCCGCAGCAACUGAGGUCUCCAAAGGGAAACGGCUGAAAGAAAAACAGGAUAAGAAUCAGGUGAAGGGGAAAAGGUUGGCAGAGAAAACAGGUAGCUGUGAAGUUAAAUACAAAUUAAGGCCUUUAGUGUAAUCUCUUGAGAUCUCAUGAUGACCAAGGCUGGAGGACUUGCCCUUGAGCAGGAGAAGGGUGUGGGGCAGGGUGAGACCAGGGGAGGGCUGACUGCAGAGCAGAUGUAUGGGAGAGAGGGUGGACAAAAGUUCUCUACUGUAAAAAAUCACAAUAGUUGGAACGAGCAGAAAAGGAGAAGAUUAAAAGGUGGAUGGUUCAGGGGAAACAGAAAACAUUCACUUCUGUAUGACACUGCAAAGACAUGUUACCUAGAGGGUUUGGCAGCGGUAGGUAGUAUCUUCUUUUGCCAGUAUUUUAAGGAGUUCUCUGUGUAACAGCAUUUGAUAUCUCCAGCUCAGGCACUCCUGGUUUUCCUGAACACAGUUCAAUAGCAGCAUGUUCACCUGCCCUUCAGCCUUGUGCUUUCCAUAGCUGCUGGGGCUGCAGCACUUGUGCUCUCAGCAUAGUGAGCAUGGGAAGACAAACUCCAGUUGCAGCAGAAAUUCAUGGCAUUCAUUUUGGUGGUGCCAACAGGGUCACAGUGUAACAAACAGCUGCUCCUGGUGUGUUGAGUGAGUUGUGAAACGGCUCCUUCCGCCACUGGUCCCAUGUGUCUGUGUGCUUUUCCACCACGGCUUGCCCACGGUGCAUGUGUCCAUCAUGAUGCUUUCCAGGAUGGUGAGGUGAUUAGGAGAUAGGCUCCAAGUGAGCUGUCCCGUUUCCAUACAGGGUGCAUCGGCAGUGGUGGUGUUGAAGUAGCCCCAGCUGCUUAUCCCACUUAAUUUUAGGAGUUUCAUUGCAGUGGUUUGUCCUCAGUCUUGUUUUCAGAGUUGCCAGCACAAAGCAAAUGGAGUUGCCCAAUUUGGACAUAGAAAGAUGCUCCUUUUAUCACUUACGUCCCACC